rnacentral:tRNA from 2 species
CCUUGUCCGGGCUGGCGGCGGCACAGCCGCCGCCUUCGUUGAUGGCGGCCCGUCCUCGGGCUGCCAGUCCAGCCGUUUGAAGCGGCUGGCGAGGA